rnacentral:rRNA from 1 species
GUGGGGAAUCUUCCACAAUGGACGAAAGUCUGAUGGAGCAACGCCGCGUGAGUGAAGAAGGGUUUCGGCUCGUAAAGCUCUGUUGUCGGGGACGAAUGUGCAGUAUUUGAAUAAAGUAGUGCAAUGACGGUACCUGACGAGGAAGCCACGGCUAACUACGUGCCAGCAGCCGCGGUAAUACGUAGGUGGCAAGCGUUGUCCGGAAUUAUUGGGCGUAAAGGGAGCGCAGGCGGGAAGGUAAGUCGGUCUUAAAAGUGCGGGGCUCAACCCCGUGAUGGGAUAGAAACUAUCUUUCUUGAGUGCAGGAGAGGAAAGUGGAAUUCCUAGUGUAGCGGUGAAAUGCGUAGAUAUUAGGAGGAACACCAGUGGCGAAGGCGACUUUCUGGACUGUAACUGACGCUGAGGCUCGAAAGCCAGGGGAGCGAACGGGAUUAGAAACCCGGGUAGUCC